rnacentral:rRNA from 1 species
CAACCAGCACCUCAAGUGGUCAGGAUGAUUAUUGGGCCUAAAGCAUCCGUAGCCUGUUCUAUAAGUUUCCGGUUAAAUCCAUUAGCUCAACUAAUGGGCUGCCGAAAAUACUGUAGAACUAGGGAGUGGGAGAGGUAGACGGUAUUCGGUAGGAAGGGGUAAAAUCCUUUGAUCUAUUGAGGACCACCUGUGGCGAAGGCGGUCUACCAGAACACGUUCGACGGUGAGGGAUGAAAGCUGGGGGAGCAAACCGGAUUAGAAACCCGAGUAGUCC